AUACGUAGGUGACAAGCGUUAUCCGGAUUUACUGGGCGUAAAGGGCGUGUAGGCGGUCUUGCAAGUCAGAAGUGAAAUUCCUGAGCUCAACUCGGGCGCUGCUUCUGAAACUGCAGGACUUGAGUGCUGGAGGGGAUAGCGGAAUUCCUAGUGGAGCGGUAAAAUGCGCAGAUAUUAGGAAGAACACCGGUGGCGAAGGCGGUUUUCUGGGCCACAACUGACGCUGAGGUGCGGAAGCUAGGGGAGCAAACAGGAUUAGAUACCCUGGUAGUCCACGCAGUAAACGAUGAUGGCUAACCGCUGGGCUUAUCAGUUCAGUGGCCAAGCGAAAGCGAUAAGCCAUCCACCUGGGGAGUACGACCGCAAGGUUGAAACUCAAAGGAAUCGACGGGG
rnacentral:rRNA from 1 species